rnacentral:rRNA from 1 species
GCAAUCUGCCCUGCACUCUGGGACAAGCCCUGGAAACGGGGUCUAAUACCGGAUACUGACCUUCACGGGCAUCUGUGAAGGUCGAAAGCUCCGGCGGUGCAGGAUGAGCCCGCGGCCUAUCAGCUUGUUGGUGAGGUAAUGGCUCACCAAGGCGACGACGGGUAGCCGGCCUGAGAGGGCGACCGGCCACACUGGGACUGAGACACGGCCCAGACUCCUACGGGAGGCAGCAGUGGGGAAUAUUGCACAAUGGGCGAAAGCCUGAUGCAGCGACGCCGCGUGAGGGAUGACGGCCUUCGGGUUGUAAACCUCUUUCAGCAGGGAAGAAGCGAAAGUGACGGUACCUGCAGAAGAAGCGCCGGCUAACUACGUGCCAGCAGCCGCGGUAAUACGUAGGGCGCAAGCGUUGUCCGGAAUUAUUGGGCGUAAAGAGCUCGUAGGCGGCUUGUCACGUCGGUUGUGAAAGCCCGGGGCUUAACCCCGGGUCUGCAGUCGAUACGGGCAGGCUAGAGUUCGGUAGGGGAGAUCGGAAUUCCUGGUGUAGCGGUGAAAUGCGCAGAUAUCAGGAGGAACACCGGUGGCGAAGGCGGAUCUCUGGGCCGAUACUGACGCUGAGGAGCGAAAGCGUGGGGAGCGAACAGGAUUAGAUACCCUGGUAGUCCACGCCGUAAACGGUGGGCACUAGGUGUGGGCAACAUUCCACGUUGUCCGUGCCGCAGCUAACGCAUUAAGU